rnacentral:lncRNA from 1 species
UUUUAUUUAUUAUCCGAUUAUUUUUUAUUUUUUUGUCAAUUUAAUUAGUAGAAAUAAUUAGAAUUAAUUGUGUUUUAAGUAUAAUUAUUUUUUAUUCUAUUAACUUUUUUCUUUUUUUUUUUAAUUUUGGUUUUAUUUUGUUAAAAAUAAAUCUUAAAUAUCAAAUUUUUAAUAAGAAAAUGAUAAUAAUAAAUGAAUUGAAGGAGAAAGUGUGGGAAAAUUCCCCCCAUUUUCUUGGCUGAUAGCACAUGUGACCCUUCUUUUUGUUUUG